CUAUUACUGUGCAUAAUUAUUAGGCAACUUAACAAAAAACAAAUAUAUACCCAUUUCAAUUAUUUAUUAUUACCAGUGAAACCAAUAUAACAUCUCAACAUUCACAAAUAUACAUUUCUGACAUUCAAAAACAAAACAAAAACAAAUCAGUGACCAAUAUAGCCACCUUUCUUUGCAAGGACACUCAAAAGCCUGCCAUCCAUGGAUUCUGUCCGUGUUUUGAUCUGUUCACCAUCAACAUUGCAUGCAGCAGCAACCACAGCCUCCCAGACACUGUUCAGAGAGGUGUACUGUUUUCCCUCCUUGUAAAUCUCACAUUUGAUGAUGAACCACAGGUUCUCAAUGGGGUUCAGACCAGGUGAACAAGGAGGCCAUGUCAUUAGAUUUUCUUCUUUUAUACCCUUUCUUGCCAGCCACGCUGUGGAGUACUUGGACGCGUGUGAGGGAGCAUUGUCCUGCAUGAAAAUCAUGUUUUUCUUGAAGGAUGCAGACUUCUUCCUGUACCACUGCUUGAAGAAGGUGUCUUCCAGGAACUGGCAGUAGGACUGGGAGUUGAGCUUGACUCCAUCCUCAACCCGAAAAGGCCCCACAAGCUCAUCUUUGAUGAUACCAGCCCAAACCAGUACUCCACCUCCACUUUGCUGGCGUCUGAGUCGGACUGGAG